rnacentral:rRNA from 1 species
AACGAACGCUGGCGGCAGGCUUAACACAUGCAAGUCGAGCGCCCCGCAAGGGGAGCGGCAGACGGGUGAGUAACGCGUGGGAAUCUACCCAUCUCUACGGAAUAACGCAUGGAAACGUGUGCUAAUACCGUAUACGUCCUUCGGGAGAAAGAUUUAUCGGAGAUGGAUGAGCCCGCGUUGGAUUAGCUAGUUGGUGGGGUAAAGGCCUACCAAGGCGACGAUCCAUAGCUGGUCUGAGAGGAUGAGCAGCCACACUGGGACUGAGACACGGCCCAGACUCCUACGGGAGGCAGCAGUGGGGAAUAUUGGACAAUGGGCGCAAGCCUGAUCCAGCCAUGCCGCAUGAGUGAUGAAGGCCCUAGGGUUGUAAAGCUCUUUCACCGGUGAAGAUAAUGACGGUAACCGGAGAAGAAGCCCCGGCUAACUUCGUGCCAGCCGCCGCGUAACAC